rnacentral:lncRNA from 1 species
GCAGAGAACCACACACACACACCUGAGACGCCCCCGCCCGCCCGCCCCAGAGCAGAGAGCUGUCCUAGACGGCUUCGGCCCGUGUUGACCGGGAUAGACCCCUCGAAGGCGAGGAAGGCUACCGGACCUGGAGAGACCGCGCGCUCAGGAGAGGCAACCCCCUUUUCUUGGCUACCGGAAGGAUUGAGGGCCCUUGUAUUGUUGGUCCAUGAUCUCUUUCCAAAAUUAGCAACCCCAUCUUUGUCACCAAGUAGGUAAGGACCAUCAGUCCCCACAACCUGUCCCUGACUA